AGCGAACGCUGGCGGCAGGCCUAACACAUGCAAGUCGAACGGAUCCUUCGGGAUUAGUGGCGGACGGGUGAGUAACACGUGGGAACGUGCCUUUUGGUUCGGAACAACUCAGGGAAACUCGAGCUAAUACCGAAUGUGCCCUUCGGGGAAGGAUUUAUCGCCAUUAGAGCGGCCCGCGUCUGAUUAGCUUGUUGGUGAGGUAAAGGCUCACCAAGGCUACGAUCAGUAGCUGGUCUGAGAGGAUGAUCAGCCACAUUGGGACUGAGACACGGCCCAAACUCCUACGGGAGGCAGCAGUGGGGAAUCUUGCGCAAUGGGCGAAAGCCUGACGCAGCCAUGCCGCGUGAAUGAUGAAGGUCUUAGGA
rnacentral:rRNA from 1 species